rnacentral:rRNA from 1 species
AACGAACGCUGGCGGCAGGCCUAACACAUGCAAGUCGAGCGAAGCCUUCGGGCUUAGCGGCGGACGGGUGAGUAACGCGUGGGAACGUGCCCUUUGGUACGGAAUAGCCCCGGGAAACUGGGAGUAAUACCGUAUGUGCCCUUAGGGGGAAAGAUUUAUCGCCAAAGGAUCGGCCCGCGUUGGAUUAGGUAGUUGGUGGGGUAAUGGCCUACCAAGCCGACGAUCCAUAGCUGGUUUGAGAGGAUGAUCAGCCACACUGGGACUGAGACACGGCCCAGACUCCUACGGGAGGCAGCAGUGGGGAAUCUUAGACAAUGGGGGAAACCCUGAUCUAGCCAUGCCGCGUGAUCGAUGAAGGCCUUAGGGUUGUAAAGAUCUUUCAGUGGGGAAGAUAAUGGCUGUACCCACAGAAGAAGCCCCGGCUAACUCCGUGCCAGCCGCCGCGGUAAAAC